GACAGGUAGUGCAUGGUUGUCGUCAGCUCGUGUCGUGAAAUAUAAAUUAAAUCCCGCAACGAGCACAACCCUCGCCUCUAGUUGCCAGCAUUCGGUUGGGCACUCUAGAGGGACUGCCGGCGACAAGUCGGAGGAAGGUGGGAUGACGUCAAAUCAUCAUGCCCCUUAUGACCUGGGCUACACACGUGCUACAAUGGGCGGUACAAAGGGCUGCGAACCCGCGAGGGGGAGCGAAUCCCAAAAAGCCGCUCUCAGCUCGGAUUGCAGGCUGCAACUCGCCUGCAUGAAGCCGGAAUCGCUAGUAAUCGCGGAUCAGCAUGCCCGCGGUCCGAAUACGUUCCCGGGCCUU
rnacentral:rRNA from 1 species